rnacentral:lncRNA from 1 species
CCCGCGCAGCAGCUCUUCCCCUUACGCCAACCUCAGGGGUGUCCAAUGGCGUAUGGAUCUCGGAAUUCUACCUUCUUCCUCUUCUUCUUCUGCUCCCUCCUCUUCAAUUGAUCUUCUCCGCCGCGUCACUGCCGAUUCCCGCAGAAGGUAUCCAAUCUAAAGCUUCCAUAUUGGUUAAAAAAAAUUAAGCCUUUUUUGCCCUGUGAAUCGUGUGUUCCGUUCCUUCGGUUUCGUGCUUCUGCUUCCACCGAUCAUCGAACUUUUCCAAAUUGUUCAAUUCUUGCUUCUGGAAUGAUUUGAUGAUAAGUUGGAG